AUUGAACGCUGGCGGCAGGCCUAACACAUGCAAGUCGAGCGGUAGAGAGGUGCUUGCAUCUCUUGAGAGCGGCGGACGGGUGAGUAAUGCCUAGGAAUCUGCCUAGUGGUGGGGGAUAACGUUCGGAAACGGACGCUAAUACCGCAUACGUCCUACGGGAGAAAGCAGGGGACCUUCGGGCCUUGCGUUAUCAGAUGAGCCUAGGUCGGAUUAGCUAGUAGGUGAGGUAAUGGCUCACCUAGGCGACGAUCCGUAACUGGUCUGAGAGGAUGAUCAGUCACACUGGAACUGAGACACGGUCCAGACUCCUACGGGAGGCAGCAGUGGGGAAUAUUGGACAAUGGGCGAAAGCCUGAUCCAGCAAUGCCGCGUGAGUGAUGAAGGCC
rnacentral:rRNA from 1 species